AGAGUUUGAUCAUGGCUCAGAACGUACGCUGGCGGCACGCCUAACACAUGCAAGUCGAACGAAGUAGCAAUACUUAGUGGCAGACGGGUGAGUAACAUGUAGGUAUCUACCCUUUGGCCUGGAAUAACACGAGGAAACUUGUGCUAAUACCGGAUAAGUCUUUACGGAGAAAGCUUUAUGCACCAUUGGAUGAGCCUGCACUUGAUUAGUUUGUUGGUGGGGUAAUGGCCUACCAAGACUGUGAUCAAUAGCUGAUUUGAGAGGAUGAUCAGCCACAUUGGGACUGAGACACGGCCCAAACUCCUACGGGAGGCAGCAGUGGGGAAUCUUGCACAAUGGAGGAAACUCUGAUGCAGCGAUGCCGCGUGAGUGAAGAAGGCCUUUGGGUUGUAAAGCUCUUUCGUCGGGGAAGAAAAUGACUGUACCCGAAUAAGAAGGUCCGGCUAACUUCGUGCCAGCAGCCGCGGUAAUACGAAGGGACCUAGCGUAGUUCGGAAUUACUGGGCUUAAAGAGUUCGUAGGUGGUUGAAAAAGUUAGUGGUGAAAUCCCAGAGCUUAACUCUGGAACUGCCAUUAAAACUUUUCAGCUAGAGUAUGAUAGAGGAAAGCAGAAUUUCUAGUGUAGAG
rnacentral:rRNA from 1 species